UACAGAGGUCUCAAGCGUUGUUCGGAUUCAUUGGGCGUAAAGGGCGCGUAGGCGGCGGGGUAAGUCGGGUGUGAAAUCUCAGAGCUCAACUCUGAAACUGCACUCGAUACUGCUUUGCUAGAGGACUGGAGAGGAGAUUGGAAUUCACGGUGUAGCAGUGAAAUGCGUAGAUAUCUGGAGGAACACCGGUGGCGAAGGCGGCAUCCUGGACCGGCAUUGACGCUGAGGCGCGAAAGCCAGGGGAGCAAACGGG
rnacentral:rRNA from 1 species